AUUGAACGCUGGCGGCAUGCCUUACACAUGCAAGUCGAACGGCAGCAUGAUCUAGCUUGCUAGAUUGAUGGCGAGUGGCGAACGGGUGAGUAAUACAUCGGAACGUGCCCUGUAGUGGGGGAUAACUAGUCGAAAGAUUAGCUAAUACCGCAUAAGACCUGAGGGUGAAAGUGGGGGACCGCAAGGCCUCAUGCUAUAGGAGCGGCCGAUGUCUGAUUAGCUAGUUGGUGAGGUAAAGGCUCACCAAGGCGACGAUCAGUAGCUGGUCUGAGAGGACGGUCAGCCACACUGGGACUGAGACACGGCCCAGACUCCUACGGGAGGCAGCAGUGGGGAAUUUUGGACAAUGGGGGCAACCCUGAUCCAGCAAUGCCGCGUGUGUGAAGAAGGCCUUCGGGUUGUAAAGCACUUUUGUCCGGAAAGAAAUCGCACUUACUAAUAUUAGGUGUGGAUGACGGUACCGGAAGAAUAAGGACCGGCUAACUACGUGCCAGCCGCCGCCGUAAUAC
rnacentral:rRNA from 1 species